rnacentral:rRNA from 1 species
AUUGAACGCUGGCGGCGUGCCUAACACAUGCAAGUCGAGCGGUAACAGGUGUAGCAAUACAUGCUGACGAGCGGCGGACGGGUGAGUAACGCUUGGGAAUCUGCCUAUUAGUGGGGGACAACCCGGGGAAACUCGGGCUAAUACCGCAUACGCUCUACGGAGGAAAGCCGGGGACCGCAAGGCCUGGCGCUAAUAGAUGAGCCCAAGUCGGAUUAGCUAGUGGUAGGUAAGGCCUACCAAGGCGACGAUCCGUAACUGGUCUGAGAGGACGACCAGUCACACCGGAACUGAGACACGGUCCGGACUCCUACGGGAGGCAGCAGUGGGGAAUAUUGGACAAUGGGCGAAAGCCUGAUCCAGCGACGCCGCGUGGGUGAAGAAGGCCUGCGGGUUGUAAAGCCCUUUCAGC